GGAGGCUGGUGGGGAAGGAGCAGGGGAUGCCUUCAUGGGAGCUGCGCUAUCACAGUGGUGAGUCCUGAUGCCUUGCCUGUGAGGGCCUUCACAACCUUCAGAGCAUGAUGGCAUUGCCAGAGAGAAGAGAAUUCACCAUGGACACCUAGCCUAGUGCCUGGCAGAUGUUACUGUAUUGUGCUUGAGCCUACUCGCUAAUCACAAUUGGCCACUAGUAAUGACUGAAGAAGAAAAAAUGAAUUGACUUGAAAUCCCUUUGAUUGAAUGAUAGAGUUAUAAGAAGACACGAGGCAGAGGAAAACAAAGGAGGAGGUAAGUAUCACCCAAGGCCUGGGAGUGUUCCACAAACAGCAAUGAUUUCAAAAUUUUCUUAUGGAACAGGAUCUGCUACUCCAAAACCAAAGUUCGGAAAAUGAAAUCUCCCUUGCAGUCAACAAGUAUUAAGAUCUUUCAGUAUUUAUAGUGAUAUCACAUGCUAAAAAGAAAACUAUUUAUAGUGCCUGACUUGCGUGUGGCUGUAGAAUAAUAUGUUUUAAUCUUGAAAACAUAAAAAUGAUAGUUUAUAGAAUUAUAAUAACUAAUCCUUUCUGAAA
rnacentral:lncRNA from 1 species